rnacentral:misc_RNA from 1 species
GAUGAAGAACGUAGCGAAAUGCGAAAAGUAGUGUGAAUUGCAGAAUUCAGUGAAUCAUCGAAUCUUUGAACGCACAUUGCGCCCUUUGGUAUUCCUUAGGGCAUGCCUGUUCGAGCGUCAUUUAAACCUUCAAGCUAAGCUUGGUGUUGGGUGACUGUCCGCUUCACGGCGGACUCGCCUCAAAAUUAUUGGCGGCCGGUACAUUGGCUUCGAGCGCAGCAGAAACGCGAACUCGGGCCCGUCGUAUUGGCUCCCAGAAGCUAUCUUCACAAUUUUGACCUCGGAUCAGGUAGGGAUACCCGCUGAACUUAAGCAUAUCAAUAAGCGGAGGA